GAAAUGCGAUAAGUAAUGUGAAUUGCAGAACUCAGUGAAUCAUCGAAUCUUUGAACGCACAUUGCGCCCCCUGGUAUUCCGGGGGGCAUGCCUGUUCGAGCGUCAUUUCACCACUCAAGCCUCGCUUGGUAUUGGGCAACGCGGUCCGCCGCGUGCCUCAAAUCGACCGGCUGGGUCUUCUGUCCCCUAAGCGUUGUGGAAACUAUUCGCUAAAGGGUGUUCGGGAGGCUACGCCGUAAAACAACCCCAUUUCUAAGGUUGACCUCGGAUCAGGUAGGGAUACCCGCUGAACUUAAGC
rnacentral:misc_RNA from 1 species